rnacentral:lncRNA from 1 species
AUGAGAAGGAAAUACACCAAGAAUUUGAGUUCAUUUGCAAAAUAUCUAACACAAGGUUGCAAUAAAGGUCAUUUAUUCAGAAACCAUAAAAACAUAAUACAACUGAAUGUUAUGAACAAUUAUGUAAUAAACCAAAACUGAAUAAAUGACAAUAAUUUGCAAAGGUGGGGAAUAAAUACUGCCACAAUCCCAAAACCAAAGAGAUUGGGAGCCGUCACCUGAGAAACCUUGGAGAUAAAUGUUAUAAGAGUUUAAUUGAUUUAUAUAAAUGCUUGUUAUCUUAACAUCUAAUAGCAAUCAUUUCAUUCAAAUUGAGGAUGACAUUAAAAUGAAAAGAGACAGA